CAGUCGCCGCGGUAAUACGUAGGUGGCAAGCGUUGUCCGGAAUUAUUGGGCGUAAAGCGCGCGCAGGUGGUUUAAUAAGUCUGAUGUGAAAGCCCACGGCUCAACCGUGGAGGGUCAUUGGAAACUGUUAAACUUGAGUGCAGGAGAGAAAAGUGGAAUUCCUAGUGUAGCGGUGAAAUGCGUAGAGAUUAGGAGGAACACCAGUGGCGAAGGCGACUCUCUGGUCUGUAACUGACGCUGAGGAGCGAAAGCGUGGGGAGCGAACAGGAUUAGAUACCCGGGUAGUCCCUGUCUCUUAUAC
rnacentral:rRNA from 1 species